rnacentral:sRNA from 1 species
UUUAUCCACAAAACAAAUACAGCACAGGCAAGAGGAGAGCAAGCUUCCCCACUGUCCUCUCAGUGUUCUUCAGUUGUGACUUGGAGGGGACCAUCACUGUGAA